GGGUGCCUGGCUCAGUUGGUAGAGCAUGUGACUCCUCAUCUCAGGGUCAUGAGUUCAAGCCUUAUGUUGCUUA
rnacentral:tRNA from 1 species